UUAAAAUUAACAAAGCAUGCAGCGUUUUACUUAUAAAGUGAUCAAAUAACGAUUUGUCAGCAACAUGCAAGUUAAGGAGACAAAAUAUGGCUGAAAUUCUAAAAAUCAUUUAUGCUUUGAUUAUCUUGCACUUGCUUUUCCUAACUAUGGUCGUAACUGGCGAAAGUUUUCACCCCUGCAAAAUUAACGAGCAUUGUACAACUUAUAAAUGUCUUCUUACCGGACAGCCUUGGUGUUUUAUGGAUUUUUGUCUUUGUAUGUAUUUUAAUUAAGUGUAAACUAAGUUAAACAUUAUGAAAUUUGAUUUGUAUGCGACAAUGUUUCAACUGUUAUGUAAUUUUCGCAUUUUGGAUUAUGAUUUUGUGACUUUCAA